rnacentral:rRNA from 1 species
AUUGAACGCUGGCGGCAGGCCUAACACAUGCAAGUCGAACGGUAACAGGAAGCAGCUUGCUGCUUUGCUGACGAGUGGCGGACGGGUGAGUAAUGUCUGGGAAACUGCCUGAUGGAGGGGGAUAACUACUGGAAACGGUAGCUAAUACCGCAUAACGUCGCAAGACCAAAGAGGGGGACCUUCGGGCCUCUUGCCAUCGGAUGUGCCCAGAUGGGAUUAGCUAGUAGGUGGGGUAACGGCUCACCUAGGCGACGAUCCCUAGCUGGUCUGAGAGGAUGACCAGCCAAACUGGAACUGAGACACGGUCCAGACUCCUACGGGAGGCAGCAGUGGGGAAUAUUGCACAAUGGGCGCAAGCCUGAUGCAGCCAUGCCGCGUGUAUGAAGAAGGCCUUCGGGUUGUAAAGUACUUUCAGCGGGGAGGAAGGGAGUAAAGUUAAUACCUUGGCUCAUUGACGUUACCCGAAGAAGAAGCACCGGCUAACUCCGUG